CCCGCUGAACUUAAGCAUAUCAAUAAGCGGAGGAAAAGAAACUAACAAGGAUUCCCCUAGUAACUGCGAGUGAAGCGGGAAAAGCUCAAAUUUAAAAUCUGGUGGCCUUUGGCCAUCCGAGUUGUAAUUUAGAGAAGCGUCUUCCGCGCUGGACCGUGCACAAGUCUCCUGGAAUGGAGCGUCGUAGAGGGUGAGAAUCCCGUCUUUGGCACGGACGCCCAGUGCUUCUGUGAUGCGCUCUCGAAGAGUCGAGUUGUUUGGGAAUGCAGCUCAAAAUGGGUGGUGAACUCCAUCUAAAGCUAAAUAUUGGCGAGAGACCGAUAGCGAACAAGUACCGUGAGGGAAAGAUGAAAAGCACUUUGGAAAGAGAGUGAAACAGUACGUGAAAUUGUUGAAAGGGAAACGCUUGAAGUCAGUCGCGUCGUCCGAGACUCAGCCUCGCCUCGGCUUGGUGUACUUCUCGGAUGACGGGUCAGCAUCAAUUUCGACCGCCGGAUAAAGGUCGGGGGAAUGUGGCAUCCUUCGGGAUGUGUUAUAGACCUCGAUUCGGAUACGGCGAUUGGGAUUGAGGAACUCGGCGCUCUGCGUCCAGGAUGCUGGCAUAAUGGCUUUAAGCGACCCGUCUUGAAACACGG
rnacentral:rRNA from 1 species